CCAAUAGCGUAUAUUAAAGUUGUUGCAGUUAAAAAGCUCGUAGUUGAAUUUCGGGAUCAAUAUAUCGGUCGUGCCUUGGUACGUACUGGUAUCAUUGGUUUCUCCUUUCUGACGAACCAUGAUGUCAUUAAUUUGGUGUUAUGGGAAGUUAGGACUGUUACUUUGAAAAAAUUAGAGUGUUCAAAGCAGGCUUUGGCUUGAAUACAUUAGCAUGGAAUAAUGAAAUAGGACGUUCGAACCUAUUUUGUUGGUUUCUAGGAUCAACGUAAUGAUUAAUAGGGAGAUGUGGGGGCAUUAGUAUUCAAUUGUCAGAGAUGAAAUUCUUGGAUUUAUUGAAGACUAACUACUGCGAAAGCAUUUGUCAAGGAUGUUUUCAUUAAUCAAGAACGAAAGUUAGGGGAUCGAAGACGAUCAGAUACCGUCGUAGUCUUAACCAUAAACUAUGCCGACUAGGGAUCGGAUGAUGUUAAUUUUUUAAUGACUCAUUCGGCGCCUUACG
rnacentral:rRNA from 1 species